rnacentral:misc_RNA from 1 species
CAAAUACCAUGCAGAAUUCACACCUGUAUUCUCUCCUGAAAGGUUUGAGCUCCCUAACGCAUUCUUUGCAACCGCUCAAAGUGUUCGUGAUUCGCUCCUUAUUAAUUGGAAUGCUACAUAUGAUGUUUAUGAAAAGCUGAACAUGAAGCAAGCGUACUAUCUAUCCAUGGAAUUUCUGCAGGGUAGAGCAUUGUUAAAUGCAAUUGGUAAUCUGGAGCUUACCGGUGCAUUUGCGGAAGCUUUGAAAAACCUUGGCCACAAUCUAGAAAAUGUGGCUUCUCAGGAGCCAGAUGCUGCUCUUGGAAAUGGGGGUUUGGGACGGCUUGCUUCCUGUUUUCUGGACUCUUUGGCAACACUAAACUACCCAGCAUGGGGCUAUGGACUUAGGUACAAAUAUGGUUUAUUUCAGCAACGGAUCACAAAAGAUGGUCAGGAGGAGGUGGCUGAAGAUUGGCUUGAAAUUGGCAGUCCAUGGGAAGUUGUGAGGAAUGAUGUUUCAUAUCCUAUCAAAUUCUAUGGAAAAGUCUCUACAGGAUCAGAUGGAAAGAGGUAUUGGAUUGGUGGAGAGGAUAUAAAGGCAGUUGCAUAUGAUGUUCCCAUACCAGGGUAUAAAACCAGAACCACAAUCAGCCUUCGGCUGUGGUCUACACAAGUUCCAUCAGCAGAUUUUAAUUUAUCUGCUUUCAAUGCUGGAGAGCACACCAAAGCAUGUGAAGCCCAAGCAAACGCUGAGAAGAUAUGUUACAUACUCUACCCUGGGGAUGAAUCAGAGGAGGGAAAGAUCCUUCGGUUGAAGCAACAAUAUACCUUAUGCUCGGCUUCUCUCCAAGAUAUUAUUUCUCGAUUUGAGAGGAGAUCAGGUGAUCGUAUUAAGUGGGAAGAGUUUCCUGAAAAAGUUGCUGUGCAGAUGAAUGACACUCACCCUACACUUUGUAUCCCUGAGCUGAUGAGAAUAUUGAUUGAUCUGAAGGGCUUGAAUUGGAACGAAGCUUGGAAUAUUACUCAAAGAACUGUGGCCUACACAAACCAUACUGUUUUGCCUGAGGCACUGGAGAAAUGGAGUUAUGAAUUGAUGCAGAAGCUGCUUCCCAGACAUGUCGAAAUCAUUGAGGCUAUUGAUGAGGAGCUGGUACAUGAAAUUGUAUCAAAAUAUGGUUCACUGGAUCUGAACAAAUUGGAGGACAAGUUGACUACAAUGAGAAUUUUAGAAAAUUUUGAUCUUCCCAGUUCAGUUGCUGAAUUUUUUAUCAACCCUGAAAUCUCAGUUGAUGAUGAUACUGAAACACUAGAAGUCCAUGACAAAGUUGAAGCUUCUGAUAAAGUUGUGACUAAUGAUGAAGAUGACACUGGUAAGAAAACUAGUAUGAAGACAGAAGCCUCUGCAGAAAAAGACAUUGACAAGAAAACUCCUGUGAGUCCGGAACCAGCUGUUAUACCACUUAAGAAGGUACGCAUGGCCAACCUGUGUGUUGUGGGCGGCCAUGCUGUUAAUGGAGUUGCUGAGAUCCAUAGUGAAAUUGUGAAGGAGGAGGUUUUCAAUGGCUUCUAUGAGCUCUGGCCGGAAAAGUUCCAAAAUAAAACAAAUGGAGUGACUCCAAGAAGAUGGAUUCGUUUCUGCAAUCCUCCUCUUAGUGCCAUCAUAACUAAGUGGACUGGUACAGAGGAAUGGGUUCUGAAAACAGAGAAAUUGGCAGAAUUGCAGAAGUUUGCUGAUAAUGAAGAUCUUCAAAAUGAGUGGAGGGAAGCAAAAAGGAGCAACAAGAUUAAAGUUGUCUCCUUUCUCAAAGAAAAGACAGGGUAUUCUGUUGUCCCAGAUGCAAUGUUUGAUAUUCAGGUAAAACGCAUUCACGAGUACAAGCGCCAACUGUUAAAUAUCUUGGGCAUCGUUUAUCGGUAUAAGAAGAUGAAAGAAAUGAAAGCUGCUGAAAGAAAGACUAACUUCGUUCCUCGAGUAUGCAUAUUUGGGGGAAAAGCUUUUGCCACAUAUGUGCAAGCCAAGAGGAUUGUAAAAUUUAUCACAGAUGUUGGUGCUACUAUAAAUCAUGAUCCAGAAAUCGGCGAUCUGUUGAAGGUAGUCUUUGUGCCAGAUUACAAUGUCAGUGUUGCUGAAUUGUUAAUUCCUGCUAGCGAUCUAUCAGAACAUAUCAGUACGGCUGGAAUGGAGGCCAGUGGGACCAGUAAUAUGAAGUUUGCAAUGAAUGGUUGUAUCCAAAUUGGUACAUUGGAUGGCGCUAAUGUUGAAAUAAGGGAAGAGGUUGGAGAAGAAAACUUCUUUCUCUUUGGUGCUCAAGCUCAUGAAAUUGCAGGGCUUAGAAAAGAAAGAGCUGAUGGAAAGUUUGUACCUGAUGAACGUUUUGAAGAGGUGAAGGAAUUUGUUAGAAGCGGUGCUUUUGGAUCUUAUAACUAUGAUGACCUAAUCGGAUCAUUGGAAGGAAAUGAAGGUUUUGGGCGUGCUGACUAUUUCCUUGUGGGCAAGGACUUCCCCAGUUACAUAGAAUGCCAAGAGAAAGUUGAUGAG